CACGGACCGCACGAACGUUAUUCGGUAUCACUGGGCUUAAAGGGUGCGUAGGCGGCUUUGCAAGUUGGGUGUGAAAGCCCUCGGCUCAACCGAGGAAUUGCGCUCAAUACUGCCGAGCUCGAGAGAGACAGAGGUAAGCGGAACUGAUGGUGGAGCGGUGAAAUGCGUUGAUAUCAUCAGGAACACCGGUGGCGAAGGCGGCUUACUGGGUCUUUUCUGACGCUGAGGCACGAAAGCGUGGGGAGCAAACAGG
rnacentral:rRNA from 1 species